UGUGGGAGCUGGCUUGCCUGCGAUAGCGGCGGGUCAGCUUACCCAUCCUUGUCUGAUACACCGCCAUCGCAGGCAAGCCAGCUCCCACC
rnacentral:misc_RNA from 1 species